rnacentral:rRNA from 1 species
CUGGUGCCAGCAGCCGCGGUAAUUCCAGCUCCAAUAGCGUAUAUUAAAGUUGUUGCGGUUAAAAAGCUCGUAGUUGGUUCUGCGUCCCGCGCUGUCGGUACACCGUUUGUCGGUGACACUGGCAUGACGCGGGAUGUCCUGUCGGUGGCGGCGGAGACCAUAUCGUCGUCGGAUAACACCGCGGCGUGUUGGCCUUCUGUCGCCGGCUAUAUCCUACCGCGGUGCUCUUCACUGAGUGUCGAGGUAGGCCGACACGUUUACUUUGAACAAAUUAGAGUGCUUAAAGCAGGCAAAAAUCUCUGCCAGAAUAGUGGUGCAUGGAAUAAUGGAACAGGACCUUGGUUCUAUUCUGUUGGUCUCCGGAACACAAGGUAAUGAUCAAUGUGGACAGGCGGGGGCAUUCGUAUUGCGGCGUUAGAGGUGAAAUUCUUGGAUCGUCGCAAGACGCACUAGAGCGAAAGCAAUUGCCAAGUAUGUCUUAAUUGAUCAAGAACGAAAGUUAGAGGUUCGAAGGCGAUCAGAUACCGCCCUAGUUCUAACCAUAAACGAUGCCAGCCAGCGAUCCGCCGAUGUUCCUUUGAUGACUCGGCGGGGAGCUUUCCCCGGGAAACCAAAGCUUUUGGGUUCCGGGGGAAGUAUGGUUGCAAAGCUGAAACUUAAAGGAAUUGACGGAAGGGCACCACCAGAAGUGGAGCCUGCGGCUUAAUUUGACUCAACACGGGAAACCUCACCAGGUCAGGACAUUGGAAUGAUUGACAGAUUGAU